GACGAACGCUGGCGGCGUGCCUAAUACAUGCAAGUAGAACGCUGAAGGAGGAGCUUGCUUCUCUGGAUGAGUUGCGCAAGGGUGCGUAACGCGUAGGUAACCUGCCUGGUAGCGGGGGAUAACUACUGGAAACGAUAGCUAAUACCGCAUAAGAGUAGAUGUUGCAUGACAUUUGCUUAUAAGGUGCAAUUGCAUCACUACCAGAUGGACCUGUGUUGUAUUAGCUAGGUGGUGGGGUAACGGCUCACCAAGGCGACGAUACAUAGCCGACCUGAGAGGGUAAUCGGCCACACUGGGACUGAGACACGGCCCAGACUCCUACGGGAGGCAGCAGUAGGGAAUAUUCGGCAAUGGACGGAAGUCUGAACGAGCAACGCCGCGUGAGUGAAGAAGGUUUUCGGAUCGUAAAGCUCUGUUGUAAGAGAAGAACGAGUGAGAGAGUGGAAAGUUCACACUGUGACGGUAUCUGACCAGAAAGGGACGGCUAACUACGUG
rnacentral:rRNA from 1 species